rnacentral:rRNA from 1 species
GAUGAACGCUGGCGGCGUGCUUAACACAUGCAAGUCGAACGAAGCACUUUUGAUUCUUCGGAAGAGGAAGUGACUGAGUGGCGGACGGGUGAGUAACGCGUGGGUAACCUGCCUUAUACAGGGGGAUAACAGUUAGAAAUGACUGCUAAUACCGCAUAAGCCGAUAGAGUCGCAUGACUUAGUCGGAAAAGAUUUAUCGGUAUAAGAUGGACCCGCGUCUGAUUAGCUAGUUGGUGAGGUAAUGGCCCACCAAGGCGACGAUCAGUAGCCGGCUUGAGAGAGUGAACGGCCACAUUGGGACUGAGACACGGCCCAAACUCCUACGGGAGGCAGCAGUGGGGAAUAUUGCACAAUGGGGGAAACCCUGAUGCAGCAACGCCGCGUGAAGGAAGAAGUAUUUCGGUAUGUAAACUUCUAUCAGCAGGGAAGAAAAUGACGGUACCUGACUAAGAAGCCCCGGCUAACUACGUGCCAGCAGCCGCAGUAA